GAGAAGCGUCUUCCGCGCCGGACCGUGUACAAGUCUCCUGGAAGGGAGCAUCGUAGAGGGUGACAAUCCCGUCUCUGACACGGACCGCCGGCGCUGUGCGAUGCGCUCUCGACGAGUCGAGUUGUUUGGGAAUGCAGCUCAAAUCGGGUGGUAAACUCCAUCUAAAGCUAAAUACGGGCGAGAGACCGAUAGCGAACAAGUACCGUGAGGGAAAGAUGAAAAGAACUUUGGAAAGAGAGUUAAACAGUACGUGAAAUUGCUGGAAGGGAAACGCUUGACGUCAGUCGCGUCGUCCGGGGAUCAACCCUGCCUCUGGCUGGGCGUAUUUCCCGGUCGACGGGUCAGCAUCGAUUUCGAUCGUCGUAGAAGGACGGGAGCGAACGUGGCACUCCACGGAGUGUGUUAUAGCCUUCCGUAUGGAUGCGACGGUCGGGAUCGAGGAACUCGGCACGGCCCCUCGAGGGUUCGGGACUUCGGUCCACGCAGCGUGCCCAGGAUGCUGGCGUAAUGGCUUUAAGCGACCCGUCUUGAAACACGGACCAAGGAGUCUAACGUGCCUGCGAGUGUUUGGGUGAAAAACCCGAGCGCGCAACGAAAGUGAAAGUCGAGACCUCCGUCGCGGAGGGCACCGACGCCCGGACCGGAGCCUUUGGCGAUGGAUCUGCGGUAGAGCAUGUAUGUUGGGACCCGAAAGAUGGUGAA
rnacentral:rRNA from 1 species